GAUGAACGCUGGCGGCGUGCCUAAUACAUGCAAGUCGAGCGAACGGACGAGAAGCUGGCUUCUCUGAUGUUAGCGGCGGACGGGUGAGUAACACGUGGAUAACCUACCUAUAAGACUGGGAUAACUUCGGGAAACCGGAGCUAAUACCGGAUAAUAUUUUGAACCGCAUGGUUCAAAAGUGAAAGACGGUCUUGCUGUCACUUAUAGAUGGAUACGCGCUGCAUUAGCUAGUUGGUAAGGUAACGGCUUACCAAGGCAACGAUGCAUAGCCGACCUCAGAGGGUGAUCGCCCACACGGGCACUGAGACACGGUCCAGACUCCUACGGGAGGCCGCAGUAGGGAAUCUUACGCAAUGGGCGAAAGCCUGACAGAGCAACGCCGCGUGAGUGAUGAAGGUCUUAGGCUCGUAAAACUCUGUUAUUAGGAAAGAACAUAUGUGUAAGUAACUGUGCACAUCUUGACGGUACCUAAUCAGAAAGCUACGGCUAACUACGUG
rnacentral:rRNA from 1 species